UCCUGGUUAACCCAGGCAGUCUCGUUAGAGUUCCCACCUAAAAUGUUGGCAACUAACGAUAAGGGUUGCGCUCGUUGCGGGACUUAACCCAACACCUCACGGCACGAGCUGACGACAGCCAUGCAGCACCUGUGCAGUGGUCCCGAAGGAAGACGCCAUUUCUGGCGCUGUCCACUGCAUGUCAAGCCUGGGUAAGGUUCUUCGCGUUGCAUCGAAUUAAACCACAUGCUCCACUGCUUGUGCGGGUCCCCGUCAAUUCUUUUGAGUUUCAGCCUUGCGACUGUACUCCCCAGGCGGUAUACUUAACGCGUUAGCUCCGGCACAACUAGGGUUGAUUCCAGUUACACCAAGUAUACAUCGUUUACGGCAAGGACUAC
rnacentral:misc_RNA from 1 species